UUUGAUCAAAAAUCUCCUAAGUCAGGAUUAUUUAUUUUGUAUAUAAUAUGAAAAUACCGUCAAAAUUGUAUAAGAGUUUACAUGAAACUGCAUAGAAACUGCAUAAAAAAAAAAAACCAUUUUGUUUCAAUUAACACGGUAAGUCGGUAACUGGUCACAUGCGUCUAUAAAUCAAUUUUUAAACUAAACAAACUUAAUAUUUAACAACUUAAGAUUUGAUAUUAUACCUACGCAGGUACCUAUGUCGUAAUAAUAAUAUAUAACGACCGAUGAUGUGA